rnacentral:sRNA from 1 species
AUGGCUGUCGUCAGCUCGUGUCGUGAGAUGUUGGGUUAAGUCCCGUAACGAGCGCAACCCUUAUCCUUAUUUGCCAGCACGUAAUGGUGGGAACUCUAAGGAGACUGCCGGUGACAAACCGGAGGAAGGAGAGGAUGACGUCAAGUCAUCAUGGCCCUUACGGCCUGGGCUACACACGUGCUACAAUGGGAAGUACAAAGGGUCGCAAUAUCGCGAGAUGGAGCAAAUCCCAAAAAACUUUUCGUAGUCCGGAUUGGAGUCUGCAACUCGACUCCAUGAAGUCGGAAUCGCUAGUAAUCGCGAAUCAGCAUGUCGCGGUGAAUACGUUCCCGGGCCUUGUACACACCGCCCGUCAUACCAUGGGAGUGGGUUGCACCAGAAGUGGCUAGUCUAACUACGGAGGACGGUCACCACGGUGUGAUUCAUGACUGGGGUAAAGUCGUAACAAGGUAGCCGUAGGGGAACCUGCGGCUGGAUCACCUCCUUAAAAAAUGCAUUCUCUGCAAGUACUCACAACCUAUUGUUUGUUUUCUGAUUCCCUUAGAAGAAACCAGAAUCGAUUCUUUUUGUCUGAAUAGUGGUUUGCAGGCACGUUAAAAGAAUGGCUUCUGGUUUUUCCAGCACGCGCAAGCGUGAUACAUCGGUCAACCCGAUGUGUGGUUCUUUAAAAAAGUGAACAAGUGAUAAAGUAAGUAGAGAAUUAAAGACUGAAACCCUUUAAUUCGAUGCAAAUUGACAUCCGCAAAUGAGAUAGUGUUUCUAUCAGGUGCAGUUGACCUCAAACGCAGCUGUUCUUGAUAUCAAAGGAACAUGACUCACUAAUUUGUACAAAUUCAAGCGUAAUAUCCGGUGAUAUCAAUAAGUUGGUAUGUUAGCCCUGGCGAAAUUCAAAAGGACGGGGCUAAGAGUUCAUUCAAUUUAUAUGAUCAAGCGAAUAAGCGCAUACGGUGGAUGCCUAGGCAGUUGGAGGCGAUGAAGGACGUUGUAGCCUGCGAAAAGCUCGGGGGAGCUGGCAAACAAGCGCUAUAUCCCGAGAUGUCCGAAUGGGGAAACCCGG